GAUGAAGAACGUAGCGAAAUGCGAUAAGUAAUGUGAAUUGCAGAAUUCAGUGAAUCAUCGAAUCUUUGAACGCACAUUGCGCCCUCUGGUAUUCCGGGGGGCAUGCCUGUUCGAGCGUCAUUAUAACCACUCAAGCUCUCGCUUGGUAUUGGGGUUCGCGGUUCCGCGGCCCCUAAAAUCAGUGGCGGCGCCUGUCGGCUCUACGCGUAGUAAUACUCCUCGCGUCUGGGUCCGGUAGGUCUACUUGCCAGCAACCCCCAAUUUUUACAGGUUGACCUCGGAUCAGGUAGGGAUACCCGCUGAACUUAAGAAUAUCAAUAAGCGGAGGA
rnacentral:misc_RNA from 1 species